CCUCCAUAACUGGGCUGCUGCUGCUGGUCAUACUGCUACUAGUGCUGAGACGAUGCAUCCAGAGAAAAACUGGAGUGAGUGAUGCUGUGACAGCUGCCACCUCUUCAUCAGUGAGAAGAACAUCAGCAGAUGAUGGAAAUGGGUCAAAGAUGAUGAGAGAGAGCGAUCCAGCGGCAGUUUAUUCUUCAGUGCACAGAACAUCUGACAUCAACUAUGCACAGAUCCCCAUCAAGAUGAACUGCAGACAGAGAGAUCUUCCAUCAGAGCCAGCGGUCAUCUACUCCUCACUCAAGCCGAGCCACACACCUUCACCACAGUGUAACCAGUCUGAGUAGUGACGUCCAGCUGGCUGCU